rnacentral:pre_miRNA from 1 species
GAGACAGUUUCUGUUCUCGGCCGAUACAUUUCUGGUGUACCUCAAAACUGAUGGUACCCGUAAUGUUUCCGCCGAGAACCGACUGCGCUCA